CCCGACUGCUAUCGGGGUGAGGCUAAGCCAUGGGAGUCGCGCGCCCCGCCGCCGCGGGGCGCGGCGCACGGCUGAGUAACACGUGCCUAACCUACCCUCGGGAGGGGGACAACCCCGGGAAACUGGGGCCAAUCCCCCAUAGGAGAAGGGUGCUGGAAAGCCCCUUCUCCGAAAGGGACUGCGGCCGAUCCGCCGCAGUCCGCCCGAGGAUGGGGGCACGGCCCAUCAUGGUAGUUGGCGGGGUAAUGGCCCGCCAAGCCGAAGACGGGUGGGGGCCGUGAGAGCGGGAGCCCCGAGAUGGGCACUGAGACAAGGGCCCAGGCCCUACGGGGUGCAGCAGGCGCGAAAACUCCGCAAUGCGGGAAACCGUGACGGGGCCACCCCGAGUGCCGCCCGAAGAGGGCGGCUUUUGCCCGGUGCAAAAAGCCGGGCGAAUAAGCGGGGGGCAAGUCUGGUGUCAGCCGCCGCGGUAAUACCAGCUCCGCGAGUGGUCGGGGUGCUUACUGGGCCUAAAGCGCCCGUAGCCGGCCCGGUAAGUCGUCCCUGAAAUCCACGGGCUCAACCCGUGGGCUGGGGACGAUACUGCCGGGCUUGGGGGCGGGAGAGGCCGAGGGUACUCCCGGGGUAGGGGCGAAAUCCGAUAAUCCCGGGAGGACCACCAGUGGCGAAGGCGCUCGGCUGGAACGCGCCCGACGGUGAGGGGCGAAAGCUGGUGGAGCAAAGGGGAUUAGAUACCCCUGUAGUCCCAGCUGUAAACGAUGCGGGCUAGCUGUUGGGCGGGCUUAGAGCCCGCCCAGUGGCGGAGGGAAGCCGUUAAGCCCGCCGCCUGGGGAGUACGGCCGCAAGGCUGAAACUUAAAGGAAUUGGCGGGGGGGGCACACAAGGGGUGGAGCCUGCGGCU
rnacentral:rRNA from 1 species